ACAUAAACCUUAACGUGUGUGAGAGAGAGAAAACCCUAACCGGCCGCCAAGACCUUCAUUCUCAGAUCUGCCACAGUCUCCCCGGUGGUUUGGCUUCCGCCACCGCCGGAGGAUGCUCUUCCUCCUCUUUCUCUUAUGUGUCAUGUGUUUCCGGUGUUCUGCUAGAGCAAGGAAGGUGUGUUGGCUCCUUUUCCGGUUUGGUCUCUAGUUUGCUCCAGACACUCCUCUCGUUUUCACAAUGUUCAGUUUUUCUCGUUGAUGGUGGUUGUCCGACCAGAUCUGGGGAGUGUACUUCGAGUCUUUGGGAGAGGUCUCUGGUUGUUUUCAUAUCUAGUUUUGUGUUCCUCUGCAGUAUCCAGUUUGUGGUGGUCUCUGUCAACUGUGGCUAUCUUCUGUGUUGUAUUGUUGAGAGCUCCUACAAAGCAGCUGUUAAUCUUUCUCUUUCCAAGUUGAUCUUGGGUCUUUGAAGUUUAGCCUUCGGUGUUGAGAUAGUGAUAAUGGCGAUCCAGCGGUCUGCUUUCGGAUCUGUUAUGUGAUUGUUUUGAUGGUGUUGGUAGAGGCAUUGCUACUUGUUUCAUGGUGGUUUCUAUCAAGGCGUUUAUUGGUCGGGUCAUGUGUUGUCCGACUCGCCGUUUUCAAAGAAGUCUUAUGAAGAUCAAUGUCUUUAAGUUGCUCGAUUGUGAAGCCAUAGGUUCUUUGUGAUGGAGAGGUUAUCUGUCUUGGGAGAGGUGGACUCUCAUCACAGUGAGAGAGGUUUAAAACCGCUUGCUUCGUGAGUCGGACUCUCUCACUCUCACAUUCUCAUAACUUUUUUGGGUUUUUGAAUUUAUUUCUUACCCACGUGUGUAUGGGAUUAGUCUAUAGAUGCCUACUGGUGUCUUUUUCUUUGAGUUUUAGUUCCUGGCCUAUUUGGUCCAGAGUUGUAAGGAUACUUUUGAUUGAUUACCGAGCGUUAAAAAAAAAGACAAUUUGGUUAUA